rnacentral:pre_miRNA from 11 species
UCUCCAAGAAUUUGGGUGGUUGCAAAUCCCAAAGGAGCCCCCAACUGAAAGACCCCCAGAGUGGGGAGACCCUCACUCAAGUCUUGGGAUAAGCCAAAUCCACAAUAAUUCAAGAGAGA